rnacentral:rRNA from 1 species
AUUGAACGCUGGCGGCAGGCCUAACACAUGCAAGUCGAGCGGAUGAAGGGGGCUUGCUCCUGGAUUCAGCGGCGGACGGGUGAGUAAUGCGCAGGAAUCUACCUCGUAGUGGGGGAUAACGUCUCGAAAGGGGCGCUAAUACCGCAUACGUUCUGAGGAAGAAAGCAGGGGACCUUCGGGCCUUGCGCUAUGAGAUGAGCUUGCGUCCGAUUAGCUAGUUGGUGGGGUAAAGGCCUACCAAGGCGACGAUCGGUAACUGGUCUGAGAGGAUGAUCAGUCACACUGGAACUGAGACACGGUCCAGACUCCUACGGGAGGCAGCAGUGGGGAAUAUUGGACAAUGGGGGGCAACCCUGAUCCAGCCAUGCCGCGUGUGUGAAGAAGGCCUCGGUU